AUGAUGUCUGCAGCUUUGAGGGACCAGCAGCAGCACAGGAUCUUCAAGGCCACAAUCUCUCUGCUGCUGCUGCUGUGUCACUUUCUACACAGGGGAACAUCUGACGGAGUUUGUACUUAGGACCAGCUUCCCGAGAACAGCGACUCCUGGGAAAAGGUUUAACACAGCAGUCCCAUGACCUUGUCUUAUCUGAAUAUACUGCCCCCACCUCCCCAGUACAAGAGACGACAUCCAUCCGAAGCCAAGAAUUCUGAGAUCAGGAAGCUACCAACCUCUACCCUCUUGGGUCGGUCUGUGGGCCUCCAAAGGGGUGUCCCCAAGAAGGUGUCAGAACCCUUGCCUCAUGUUUUUCUAACUUCAUGGCCUUCCAUUGAGAUGGUCAAUAACACCAUGUGCA